AGACCCCUGUGCUGUCUUGACUCUUCAGGAGGAACACUCUAUAUCUUUGUGGUAAUAGAGUUUUGUCUACGACUCUCGUUUCUGUACUUUGUCACAGGUUCCUUCUGACUGCAGUAGCAGCUUUGUCAUCUUACUCCAUUCAUCUGCUGCUCAAAUCCUCAGGCAUUGUGGGAAUUCGAGCUUAUGAACUACUUGGAUACAGGGCCUUUGGCACUCCUGGAAAAAUGGCUGCUGGUAUAGCAAUCACUCUGCAGAAUAUUGGAGCUAUGUCCAGCUACCUGUACAUUGUGAAAUCGGAGUUACCGCUGGUAAUCCAAACUUUCCUGAAGGCAGAUCCCGAAUCUCAGUGAGUAUGAUCACUUUAGUGCUGCUAGUGAAAGGCGCGUGAUACCUGCCAGCUGUCCAGGCAGUGUGUGCCAGGUCAAGGGGCCUGGCACACACUGUGGACAGAGAAUAUAUCCAUUUUGCACCAUUCAUUGAUUCGGUCAGCUUGGGGGUGUGAUGAAAAUGGCUCCCUGUAAUUGGCUAAACUGCAGGGGGCCCAUGCUUGGGUACUAUCUGUCAGUUAUGUCUACACACAACCUAAACCCUCAGUGCUGUCAGCUUGUGAAGGCAAGCAGUGUUUACGUCAGAGCCAUGCCACAGACACAGACACUUUGAAUAAGGCCCGGAAAACUGAAGUGGAUUCUAGCUGCCUGUUCAAAUCUAAAAACAAACCAUGUUCUCAGAAGGGAUUGCAGCUACGUUAGCAGUCACUCUUUAAAAAUCUCAGGCCUGAAAAAUAAAAAUAAACUUCAGAAAUAUCUGACAGCAACCCAUCUCACCACACUUGUGUUUAACCUGUUGCAGCUAAACAUAUAGGCAGCCCU